rnacentral:rRNA from 1 species
UGUUUCGGCAAGGGGGUCAUCCCGACUUACCAACCCGAUGCAAACUGCGAAUACCGGAGAAUGUUAUCACGGGAGACACACGGCGGGUGCUAACGUCCGUCGUGAAGAGGGAAACAACCCAGACCGCCAGCUAAGGUCCCAAAGUCAUGGUUAAGUGGGAAACGAUGUGGGAAGGCCCAGACAGCCAGGAUGUUGGCUUAGAAGCAGCCAUCAUUUAAAGAAAGCGUAAUAGCUCACUGGUCGAGUCGGCCUGCGCGGAAGAUGUAACGGGGCUAAACCAUGCACCGAAGCUGCGGCAGCGACGCUUAUGCGUUGUUGGGUAGGGGAGCGUUCUGUAAGCCUGCGAAGGUGUGCUGUGAGGCAUGCUGGAGGUAUCAGAAGUGCGAAUGCUGACAUAAGUAACGAUAAAGCGGGUGAAAAGCCCGCUCGCCGGAAGACCAAGGGUUCCUGUCCAACGUUAAUCGGGGCAGGGUGAGUCGACCCCUAAGGCGAGGCCGAAAGGCGUAGUCGAUGGGAAACAGGUUAAUAUUCCUGUACUUGGUGUUACUGCGAAGGGGGGACGGAGAAGGCUAUGUUGGCCGGGCGACGGUUGUCCCGGUUUAAGCGUGUAGGCUGGUUUUCCAGGCAAAUCCGGAAAAUCAAGGCUGAGGCGUGAUGACGAGGCACUACGGUGCUGAAGCAACAAAUGCCCUGCUUCCAGGAAAAGCCUCUAAGCAUCAGGUAACAUCAAAUCGUACCCCAAACCGACACAGGUGGUCAGGUAGAGAAUACCAAGGCGCUUGAGAGAACUCGGGUGAAGGAACUAGGCAAAAUGGUGCCGUAACUUCGGGAGAAGGCACGCUGAUAUGUAGGUGAAGUCCCUCGCGGAUGGAGCUGAAAUCAGUCGAAGAUACCAGCUGGCUGCAACUGUUUAUUAAAAACACAGCACUGUGCAAACACGAAAGUGGACGUAUACGGUGUGACGCCUGCCCGGUGC